AAGUCGAACGGCAGCACGGACUUCGGUCUGGUGGCGAGUGGCGAACGGGUGAGUAAUAUAUCGGAACAUACCCAGUAGUGGGGGAUAACUAUCCGAAAGGAUAGCUAAUACCGCAUACGAUCUGUGGAUGAAAGCAGGGGAUCUUCGGACCUUGUGCUAUUGGAAUGGCCGAUAUCUGAUUAGCUAGUUGGUAGGGUAAAAGCCUACCAAGGCGACGAUCAGUAGCUGGUCUGAGAGGACGACCAGCCACACUGGAACUGAGACACGGUCCAGACUCCUACGGGAGGCAGCAGUGGGGAAUUUUGGACAAUGGGGGCAACCCUGAUCCAGCAAUGCCGCGUGAGUGAAGAAGGCCCUCGGGUUGUAAAGCUCUUUUGUCAGGGAAGAAACGGAGUUCUCUAAUAUAGGAUUCUAAUGACGGUACCUGAAGAAUAAGCACCGGCUAACUACGUGCCAGCAGCCGCGGUAAUACGUAGGGUGCAAGCGUUAAUCGGAAUUACUGGGCGUAAAGCGUGCGCAGGCGGUUUUGUAAGUCUGAUGUGAAAUCCCCGGGCUCAACCUGGGAACUGCAUUGGAGACUGCAAGGCUAGAGUGUGUCAGAGGGGGGUAGAAUUCCACGUGUAGCAGUGAAAUGCGUAGAGAUGUGGAGGAAUACCGAUGGCGAAGGCAGCCCCCUGGGAUAACACUGACGCUCAUGCACGAAAGCGUGGGGAGCAAACAGGAUUAGAUACCCUGGUAGUCCACGCCCUAAACG
rnacentral:rRNA from 1 species